AGCUGGGAGUUAGCAGCAUAUUGCCCUCAGUUAGAGAUCAUGGCAAUGAGUUAACAAAGUAUGGCAGCUUCAGAUGCUGAUGUGAACGGGAAGGGAAGACGUGGAAAAGGAGGAACAGAGCAUCAUACAUCACUAAGUCCAUAGAGUCAUUAGCUAUGAAAUUAAUCAGGAUGGAGGAAAGCAGAAUAAAAUCCUCGACCUCCGUGAAGCUCACCGUGUCUCAGGCUCAGCUGUGCCUACCCUACAGGACCCAGCCCUCUCAGGACCCCUUGGCCAUUCCCGCUUCUGAAGGGGCACAGUGAGGGAGGCUGUUAUUCACCCCAGCAGAUAUUAUGCUACUGCUGCUCAGGGACAGAACAGGGGACCAGAGGAAUGGAGAGUUGAAUAACUCGAAUAUAAAAUAUCCCACCUGGGAGCUCCCGUUACUGUUUUGAGAGAAAGUGUUUAUCUGCCAGAACCUCUUUCAGUUUAGGCGGAAGGUUAACUGCUCCCACCCUUAGGGGAUAAAGAAGAGAUUGUUUUCACAUCACUGCCCUGCCUCAUGUAUAACAUUUAGGGAAUGCUGCCUUAAGAUUAUGAUAUGAUUAGGAAUACAACAAGGAAGCAGAAUGCACAUAAACCUCUAAGAAGCACUUGAUCUCUGUAUAAAUUAUGUUCAUUGGCUACUCUCUUGGUCUUAACGCUCUCUGGGCCUCAGUUCCCAUGUCAAUAAAAUGGAAAUAAUGAUGCCCACUCUCUAUUUCCCUGACAGAGUUGUGAUAAGAGAAGAAAAGAAUAAUAUUAACAGUGAGAUAUUAAAAUGACUGUUUUAUUUCUUAA